CAGUCGCCACGGGAAAACGUAGGGUGCAAGCGUUAAUCGGAAUUACUGGGCGUAAAGCGUGCGUAGGCGGCUUCUUAAGUCGGAUGUGAAAUCCCUGAGCUUAACUUAGGAAUUGCAUUCGAUACUGGGAAGCUAGAGUAUGGGAGAGGAUGGUAGAAUUCCAGGUGUAGCGGUGAAAUGCGUAGAGAUCUGGAGGAAUACCGAUGGCGAAGGCAGCCAUCUGGCCUAAUACUGACGCUGAGGUACGAAAGCAUGGGGAGCAAACAGGAUUAGAUACCCCGGUAGUCCCUGUCUCUUAUAC
rnacentral:rRNA from 1 species